GAUGAACGCUAGCUACAGGCUUAACACAUGCAAGUCGCAGGACUGGCGCACGGGUGAGUAACGCGUAUCCAACCUUCCCAUGACCACGGGAUAACCCGUUGAAAGACGGACUAAUACCGUAUGGUGAUGGAUGGGGAUGCGUCUGAUUAGCUUGUUGGCGGGGUAACGGCCCACCAAGGCGACGAUCAGUAGGGGUUCUGAGAGGAAUGUCACCCACAUUGGAGAUUGGACACGGUCCAAAAUCCUACGGGAUGCAGCGGUGAGGGAGUUUGGGCAAUGGGGGAGAGCCUUAACCAGACAAGUAUCGUGCAGGAGGACGUGCUAUGGUUUGGAAAGUGCUUUUAUGCGGCAAUAGGUACCGCAUGAAUAAGGACCGGCGAAUGAAGUGCCAGAAGAAGCGGUAAUUC
rnacentral:rRNA from 1 species